AUUGAACGCUGGCGGCAGGCCUAACACAUGCAAGUCGAACGAGUGGCGGACGGGUGAGUAAUGUCUGGGAAACUGCCUGAUGGAGGGGGAUAACUACUGGAAACGGUAGCUAAUACCGCAUACCAUCAGAUGUGCCCAGAUGGGAUUAGCUAGUAGGUGGGGUAAUGGCUCACCUAGGCGACGAUCCCUAGCUGGUCUGAGAGGAUGACCGGCAACACUGGAACUGGGACACGGUCCAGACUCCUAGGGAGGGAGGCAGUGGGGAAUAUUGCACAAGGGGCGAAAGCCUGAGGCAGCCCUGCGGCGUGUGGGAGGAAGGCCUUCGGGUUGUAAAGCACUUUCAGCGAGGAGGCGUUACUCGCAGAAGAAGCACCGGCUAACUCCGUGCCAGCAGCCGCGGUAAUUC
rnacentral:rRNA from 1 species